UGGGCUGUAGCUUACCGUUUGGAGUUGCCGCCUACUAGCCGCAUUCACCCCGUCUUCCACAUCUCUACCUUGAAACCUUUUAAGGGAGAUGGUAUUGAGUUGAUUUGCCAGUUGCCUCCAGAUUCGGUGCAAGCUCAACCAGUAAUUACCCCAAUCGCAGUCUGCUCAUCGCCCCACAUACUCUCUCAUGGCAAGGUGCGACACCAAGUGUGGUUCAGUGGUCGGCGAACCACCUGAGAGCUCGACGUGGGAGGAUUUUGAAGAUUUGCAAGGAGAUUUUCCCCAGUUUACCUUGAGGACAAGGGUUCCAAAGUGGUGGGGAAUGAUACACCUGACAACACUACCAGCCCAAGCCCACCAAGGAAGACGAAGGCCCACGUUGCACCAAGCCCACUCAGUAACCAAACUCCCCAUCAAGCUCAAGGAUUAC
rnacentral:lncRNA from 1 species